CGAGAGCUUUUCUUAAUCCCCUGGAUUCUUUAUAUAGGAAUUAAUCUCUCUGCCACACUGGGAGAGCAGCAAAGAGCCCAGAGAUCUGGGUGGGAAGCUGAUGCAUAUUGUCUGUAUACGUGUUAUUUGUUUCCGUGUGUGAAGGUCGAGAAUGGUGUUGCUUUGAUUUUUUUCUUGUUUUUUGUUUUAUUCUCUCCUGAUUGGGAUUGAGCUGCUCUCUUGAUCAGGACAGAGACAACAGCAGUUGGAUUAAAAAAAAAAAACUUCUGUUGGAAUUUAAAAGUUUUUGGGGUGAGUUCAAGCCCAGCAACAUGGCUGAGCAAGGAAGUAGUGGCUUGCAGGUGCUUCUCUCUACUUUUCAGCAUUCCCAUGACAAAGACGUGAUCCUGAAUACCCUGAGUAUUCUCACAAAUCUUCUUUUUGUUGGGACAAACAGGAGGGUCCAGUAUACUAUUAGCAAAGGGGGUAGCGAAGCCCUUUUGCAGGCGUUGGUGAAUGCAGCACAAACUUCAGUACCGGACUAUGACAUCUUGUUACCUCUCUUGCGUUUGCUGGUCAGAAUUGGCUGUAAAGAUAAGAAGUUCGGACUGAAAGCACAACGCCUGGAGGCAAUUGAUGUAACUCUCAGCUUGGCACGAAAAAAUCUUAACCACCAUGAGAAUCUCACCCACUGUCUCUGGGCACUGCGGAUUUAUGCUUCCAAUGUUACAGUAGGAACUAUGUUGGGCAUUAAUGGAGCGAUGGAAUUGCUCUUCCAAGUUAUCACACCAUAUACCAAGAAGCAUACCAUCACAACAAGGGCAGCAGUUGAAGCUCUGGCAGCUUUGUUGAAAUCAAAGUCCAACAGUCGCCGAGCUGUACACCGAGGUUAUGUUUGUCAGCUGAUCCGGUUGUAUCAAGAUUGGCAUCACCGAGACACUUCAAAUAACUACAUUUUAAUCCGGAGGGGUCUUUUGCUUUGUCUCAAGCAUAUCACCAAUGUCCGCUCUGGGAGAGAAAGUUUCCUUUUUAUUCAUGGCAUGGAGAUGCUUUUCAGAACAACUCAGGGCAGCCUGUUCAGCAAGAAUCUGGACCCUAUUGUCAAUACAGUGACUCAGAUCCUGAGGAAAACCUAUCCCAAGAUGCCCUUUCCUUCAGCUGCAAUUAGCAGUUCCUAUUCUUUCCCCAUUCCUGGGAAAACAGAACCUUCACUUCCCAGACCUGAAGAUUAUUUUGAUGAAGACGCUGAGGAAGAGAUUGAGAAAGACUGUGAGAAUGAAGACGCUGAAAACAAGGAGGAAGACGAUGAUCUAGAGAAGGAUAUUAACAAGCUCCUAUCAAGGCCGGAGCUCGACCGACAUGAAUCGGAACUGAAUCAGUAUAUGGUCAUGUGUCCUGAACUUCAAUAUAACAUUCAGGAAAACGAAUGGGAGCCUAACGAUGAACUGAAUUCUGCGGACCUCCCUGGGACCCUGAGCAGUUCCUGCCUCCGUGUCAUUCCAUGUGCUGCUUCCCUGAAGUGCCAGCGCAAAUGCAAUCGAGAAGGGGACCAAAGUAUUGAAGAAGAAAAGCAGAUCCAGAGGACUUUAGAGAGGCCAGUACACAGAGAGGAAAGAAAGCAGAAACCUCAAGAACCUGAAAAAAUAACGUUGGGUGAAUCAGAACCUUUGGUGACUUCUUUCAGAAAAGACACAAUCUCCAGUAAGGGUCAUAGAGCCCAAGAAAGGUUACAGAACAGGCAGACGUCCCAGUUCCAACUUAUGAAUUCCUGUGCAUCUGGCUGCCAGGAGGGAGAAGAAGCUUCUGAAGUGGUCACAAAGCUUUUGGAGAGGCAUCCUGGGAACAUCCCUUUCCACAAACCUAAGUUAUUUAUGGCAAGGGCUAACUGCACCCGCUCCAUUCCAGACUACAGAGUAUUGGCAUUCCCAGAUCUCUGGGGUCAUCAACCCCCUCCGUAUAGCCAGCCUUUACAGCAAAGGAGAUGUGGCAUCCAAAAGGCCAAAAUAUUUGACGACAUCCGCCGUGUGGUCCAACCAGCUGAUAUAAUCAAGCGAGUUGUGUUCAGUUUAGACAGCUCUGAUUCUUUGCAUCCGGAUCAACAAAACGGCUUACAAUUCUUUUCCAAAUUUGAAUCUGGGAAUCUCCGCAAAGCCAUCCAAGUGCGGGAGUAUGAAUAUGAUUUGAUCCUCAACCCUGACAUCAACAAUGCCCAGUACCAUCAAUGGUUCUACUUUGAGGUCAGUGCCAUGAAGUCUGCCAUUCCUUACCGCUUCAACAUCAUCAACUGUGACAAGCCAAACAGCCAGUUUAAUUAUGGUAUGCAACCAGUCAUGUAUUCAGUGAAGGAAGCUUUGCAGGGCAGACCUCACUGGAUUCGGGUGGGCUAUGAUAUCAGUUAUUACAAAAACCACUACCGAAACUGUGCCCAAGCAGCGGCAGAAGGUCCUCACGGGAAGUCAUGCUAUACUCUCACCUUCAGCCUCGUUUUCCCUCACCAGGAAGAUGUUUGCUAUCUGGCCUACCAUUAUCCAUACACCUACUCUACCAUGAUGUCUCACCUUGACAUCUUGGAGCAAACCAGGAAUACAAAGAAAGUCUUCUUCAAGAGGCAGACCCUUUGCCACACUCUAGCAGGAAAUGCGUGCCCUCUGCUUACCGUCACCGCCAUGCCUGAAUCGGAAAGCAGGAAUGACCUGGAGCAGUUCCGUGACCGUCCUUAUGUCGUACUCACGGCACGGGUUCACCCUGGUGAGAGCAAUUCCAGCUGGGUUAUGAAGGGGACUCUGGAGUUCCUGCUCAGUAACGAUCCACUUGCUGAUCUCCUGCGGCAAUGCUUCAUCUUCAAGAUUAUUCCCAUGCUGAAUCCAGAUGGAGUCAUCAAUGGCCACCAGCGGUGCUCCUUGAGUGGCGAUGAUUUGAACAGGCAAUGGUUGAACCCCAGCCCUGUGUACCACCCCACCAUUUACCACAGCAAAGGUCUCCUUUAUUACCUCAAGAGCCAAGGCCGAGUUCCAGUGGUGUUUUGCGAUUACCAUGGACAUUCUCAGAGAAAGAAUGUCUUUCUAUAUGGAUGCAGCAUAAAGGAGACUCUCUGGCAGGCAGGAUGUACCGUAGACACGUCCAAGGUGACCGAGGAUGUUGGCUAUCGGACUCUGCCAAAGAUCUUGGAUAAAGUGGCUCCAGCUUUUCUCAUGAGUAGCUGCAGCUUCUUGCUGGAGAAGUCACGCGACUCCACAGCCCGAGUGGUGGUUUGGCGGGAAAUUGGAGUGCUGAGGAGCUACACCAUGGAAAGCACCUAUUCUGGAUGUAGCCAUGGACUCUAUAAGGGUCUUCAGAUGGGAACUUCGGAACUGGAGGAGAUGGGUGCCAAAUUCUGCCUUGGACUUCUGGUCCUUCAGCUUAAAUCCCUGCCGUGCAGCAAGAAGGUGAUGAGCCAGGCAGAGACUCUAUUGGACCUGGAAGAGGAAAUUGCUGAUCUCCAGUCUCAAAGGUGAGACCAACACAGAGAGUCAUGGACUCAGUUCCCUCCAGAGAUCGAUUUCUCAGCAGAGUCUAUUCUGACGGGAUUUCAAGGAGAGAGGUGGAUGCUAACUUCCUACAGGAAAGAAGAGAGAGGAGAGAGGAGAGAGAAUGAGAAAACCUUCUCUCCAAAAUCUUCCUAAAAAAAGAAGAAAGGAGGAAAGGAGGAAAAGAAAAAAGGAGGAAAGGAGGAAAAGAAGACGGAUCUAAUAGAGAAAAGUCUUGGAAAAUGGCUCCAGAGAACCUAGAAAAACCUCACACCUCUCUUCAGACAAGCACCAGUUUGAUUAUUAAGGAUUUCUUUUUAAGUCUACCCUUACUCCUCGCUCGCUUGAGAGAAUCACGUUUGAUCAAAAUUUAGACUGCCAGAAUGAAGCCGCCUUCUAUAAAGUCAUUGGCCAACAAUAAGUCAUUAUUGGAACAAGUUUCUGGAAAUGUCAAUUUUGGACUCCUCUUCAGUCAACUAAGCACGGCCGAUCCAGUUAGUAUUUAAAAAGGAGAUAACCACGGCAUCUCACAGUUGUGGUUUACAAUGAGAAGUUGAAAAAAAUAUCCCAGAAUGCAGCCUUCAGACAAUUUUACCUGGAUGGUUGAGAAUCUUCAUCAACAUAUUGCAAGACAUAUUGUGGAAGAAACACCUAAGGGAGAAGAAUGCUAUUCACUUCCACCAAUCCAAGAUCACGAAAACAUUAUUUGGGAAUGGGGCUCUACAAGCUACAGAUCUACCACUUUGCCAAUCCCGAUUCGUUCUUUGCUUCGGUUCAAUCAUGGUCUUCCAUUUGAGGAAGAGGAGCAGAAUGUCCUCGUUGGCUUCGUUUCCUACUCAACCCAACCUAGGAAAAGGAUGAAGAUACUGUACAGCUUUUCUUGCCUUAUUUAUCCAUGCGAUCCCAAGGGGAAUCAAUUCGGAGGGAAUUUCUCCCAGUAGAUUUAUCCAUAUUGGGAAAUGCAGACAUCCAGAAAAGCUUCAGAAGAACAGAAAAAAAAUAAUAAUAAAAGAUAUAACAGUGGAAAGAAGUGAGUUAGAAUAAAAUAACAGAAUAACAGAGUUGGAAGGACUUCUAGUCCAACCCCUUGCUUAGGCAGGAAACCCUACACCACUUCAGACAAAUGGUUAUUCAACAUCUUCUUAAAAACUUCCAGUGUUGGAGCAUUGACAACUUCUGGAGAUGUUAGAAUAUCCUUCAGAUAAAGAUGUCAAGGAAACUGAAAGAUGCAUGAGACCAAAGUAACACAGCGGGAUGGAAAGGCAGCACACCGUGAAGGGGAAAGGCAGAAGAAAAGGACAAAAAAUCUGGGUUGCAUCUAAGAACAAGAAAAAGAAGCCUGACGAAAUCCACUUACAGUAUUCUUGAGAGGUGUGGGGUUAGUCAAAUUUGCAAGGCUUCUGGAACUGUCAAAUGGCAGACUAUCAAGUAAAACUCAUUCCAGGGGAUGGCAAGUUUUCUGCUUACUCAGAACUUGGCUCGUCACGUAAGCUCUGGGAAUCAGAGACCACCUUUGGAUACUCCUGCUGAGAUCCCUACCGUUUGCUUUCCCAGAAAUUUAUACAAAUUUCACUGCAGCUCUAAGCUUCACCCAAGCGGUGCUUAAACACUUUAGUGGAGGGGCGAUGUUGGCGGUGAGAAAAUUGUUAGAAACUUUGCUGUGAUUAAGCUAAAUGAAGCCACUUUGGAGAGUUCUCAAAAAAACAAACAAAAAACCCCUUCCAUAAGUC